GGAAAAGAACCCAACAGGGAUUGCCCUAGUAACGGCGAGUGAAGCGGCAACAGCUCAAAUUUGAAAUCUGGCGCUCCGCGUCCGAGUUGUAAUUUGCAGAGGAUGCUUCCUGCGCGGUGCCUUCCGAGUUCCCUGGAACGGGACGCCAUAGAGGGUGAGAGCCCCGUACGGUCGGUAACCAAGCUCUGUGUAGCACCUUCGACGAGUCGAGUAGUUUGGGAAUGCUGCUCUAAAUGGGAGGUAAACUCCUUCUAAAGCUAAAUAUUGGCCAGAGACCGAUAGCGCACAAGUAGAGUGAUCGAAAGAUGAAAAGCACUUUGAAAAGAGAGUCAAAUAGCACGUGAAAUUGUUGAAAGGGAAGCGCUUGUGACCAGACUUGGGCCUGGUAGUUCAGCCGUCCUUCUGGGCGGUGCACUCUGCCGGUUCAGGCCAGCAUCAGUUGCCGGUCGGGGAGAAAGACAGUGGGAACGUGGCUCUUCGGAGUGUUAUAGCCCGCUGUUAUGCCUUUCCGGCGACUGAGGUUAGCGCAUCUGCACGGAUGCUGGCGUAAUGGUCAUCAGCGACCCGUCUUGAAACACGGACCAAGGAGUCAUCCUGGCAUGCGAGUGUUCGGUGUUAAACCCUUACCGUAAUGAAAGUGAACGGAGGUGAGAGCUUCGCGCAUCAUCGACCGAUCCUGAUGUUCUCGGAUGGAUUUGAGUAAAGCAUGUCGGGCUGGUCCCGAAAGAAAGCGAACUAUGCUUGGAUAGGGCAAACCCAGAGGAAACUUUUGGUGGAGCUCCCAGCGGUUCUUACGUGCCAAUCGAUCGUCAAAUCUGACAUUGGGGCGAAAGACUAUCGACCCUUCUAAUAG
rnacentral:rRNA from 1 species